UACAGAGGUCUCGAGCGUUAGGCGGAAUCACUGGGCUUAAAGCGUGUGUAGGCGGAUCGUUAAGUGCCUUGUGAAAUCCCACGGCUUAACCGUGGAACUGCUUGGCAUACUGGCGGUCUUGAGCAACCUAGGGGCGAGCGGAACAAAUGGUGGAGCGGUGAAAUGCGUAGAUAUCGGGAAGAACACCCGUGGCUAAGGCGACUCUUUGGUCUGUAACUGACGCUGAGGCGCGAAAGCGUGGGGAGCAAACAGG
rnacentral:rRNA from 1 species